rnacentral:rRNA from 1 species
GACGAACGCUGGCGGCGUGCUUAACACAUGCAAGUCGAGCGGUAAGGCCCUUUCGGGGUACGACGAGCGGCGAACGGGUGAGUAACACGUGGGUGACCUGCCCUCAGCUCUGGGAGUAAAGCCUGGGAAACCGGGUACUAAUACCGGAUAUGACUCCAUGACGCAUGUUGUGGGGUGGAAAGCCUUGUGCGGCUGAGGAUGGGCCCGCGGCCUAUCAGCUUGUUGGUGGGGUGAUGGCCUACCAAGGCGACGACGGGUAGCCGGCCUGAGAGGGCGACCGGCCACACUGGGACUGAGACACGGCCCAGACUCCUACGGGAGGCAGCAGU